GAAAUGUAGUCCUUAAUCUGCCCUGGAACGGAGGUGUCCUGCAGGCCCACCGGUGACAGCUCGGGAGCCCCCCGAAGCAGCUCUAAUACGGAAUGGGAGGUUCCCACCUGCCCUACCCCAGGGUUUGACAGCUCAGCAUGGACCAGUCUGUGGCAAUCCAGGAGACCCUGGUUGAGGGGGAAUACUGCGUCAUCGCAGUCCAAGGUGUGCUGUGUAAGGGAGAUAGCCGGCAGAGCCGCCUGCUCGGGCUGGUGAGGUACCGGCUGGAAAAUGACGCCCAGGAGCAUGCUCUCUUCCUGUAUACACACCGGAGGAUGGCCAUCACAGGAGACGAUGUAUCUCUGGACCAGAUAGUGCCACUCUCAAAAGAUUUUAUGCUGGAAGAAGUGUCCCCAGAUGGUGAACUCUACAUCCUUGGCUCUGAUGUGACAGUACAAUUGAACACAGCUGAACUCAAGCUUGUAUUCCAACUUCCCUUUGGUUCACACACCAGAACGUUCCUCCAGGAAGUGGCCAGAGCCUGUCCAGGUUUCGACCCUGAGACGCGGGAUCCCGAGUUCGAGUGGCUGUCAAGACACACAUGCGCGGAGCCCGAUGCCGAGUCGCCGAAACCGCGCGAGUGGAAUUCGGACCCGGGUACCCGGAGUGGGUUCGCGCCCAUUGGAGGAAGCAGGCAUCAGUCUCGGAAUGCACGGCGAGGAUUGGAGGAUGUCUUGCCUAGGGGCCCUGGCUACAUUCUGCUUUGGGGCGGAGCCGCUGAGGAGCCGGAAUUUCUAUUGGCGGAGGAGAUGCAUGAGGGCGGGCCUGUGAGAGGACGGAGACCGCUCGCCGGGCGGCGGGAUGAAGCGCUUGAGGAAGCAGACUGGGAAAUGUCGGCAGGCGGCGGCUCUCGGGAGCGCGACUGUGCAGGCGUUUCUAAUGUGGACAGCUCGAGGCCAAAUGGGAGGGGCCCGGACCAACCCUCCGGAGCCAGGUGUCCGGAGAAACCAGAAAACUCUCUCACAAGACAGAAUAAAUCUAAGUCUGACAUGUCUGAAAAGGUUCGCUCCGCCACAGUCACAGUAUCGGACAAGGCUCACAUUUUAUCCGUGCAGAAGUUUGGGCUUCGAGACACAAUCGUGAGAUCACACCUCGUGCAGAAGGAAGAGAAUUAUACCUACAUCCAGAACUUCAGGUUUUUUGUGGGAACCUACAAUGUGAACGGACAGUCCCCCAAAGAAUGUCUCCGGCCCUGGCUGAGCCACAGCGCCCUGGCCCCCGACGUGUACUGUGUAGGGUUCCAGGAGCUCGACCUGAGUAAGGAAGCCUUCUUCUUUCACGAUACCCCAAAGGAGGAAGAGUGGUUUAAGGCCGUGUCAGAAAGCCUUCACCCAGACGCCAAGUACGCAAAGGUGAAGUUCGUCCGACUGGUUGGGAUUAUGUUGCUGCUGUACGUCAAACAGGAACAUGCAGCCUAUAUCUCAGAAGUGGAAGCUGAGACCGUAGGGACAGGAAUCAUGGGAAGGAUGGGUAACAAAGGAGGAGUGGCGAUCAGGUUCCAGCUGCACAACACCAGCAUCUGCGUUGUCAAUUCCCAUCUGGCAGCCCACACAGAGGAGUACGAGAGGAGGAACCAAGACUACAGAGACAUUUGUUCUCGAAUGCAGUUCCCUCAGGUGGAUCCGAGCCAACCCCCUCUCACCAUUAACAAGCAUGAUGUGAUCUUGUGGCUGGGAGACCUCAACUACAGGAUAGAAGAGCUGGAUGUGGGAAAGGUGAAAAAGCUCGUGGAAGAGAAGGCCUUCCAAACCCUGUAUGCGCACGACCAGCUAAAAAUCCAGGUGGCUGCCAGGACCAUCUUUGAUGGCUUCACCGAGGGUGAGAUUACAUUCCAGCCUACUUACAAGUACGAUACUGGCUCUGACGACUGGGACACCAGUGAGAAGUGUCGUGCACCGGCCUGGUGUGACCGAAUCCUGUGGAAAGGAAAGAACAUCACUCAGCUGAGUUACCAGAGCCACAUGGCCUUGAAGACCAGUGACCACAAGCCUGUCAGCUCAGUGUUUGACAUUGGGGUGAGGGUUGUCAAUGAAGAACUCUACCGGAAGACCCUGGAGGAAAUUGUCCGCUCCCUGGAUAAAAUGGAAAACGCCAACAUUCCUUCUGUGACCCUCUCCAAGCGGGAGUUCUGUUUUGAGAAUGUGAAGUACAUGCAGUUGCAAACCGAGUCCUUCACGAUUCAUAAUAGCCAAGUGCCCUGUCAGUUUGAAUUCAUCAACAAGCCUGACGAAGAGUCCUACUGUAAGCAGUGGCUGACGGCCAGACCCAGCAAGGGCUUCCUCCUGCCAGAUUCGCAUGUUGAGAUUGAACUUGAGCUUUUUGUAAAUAAGUCUACUGCCACAAAACUCAACUCAGGCAAGGACACGAUUGAAGACAUUCUGGUUUUACACUUGGAGCGGGGAAAGGACUACUUUCUGUCUGUGUCUGGGAACUACCUGCCCAGCUGCUUCGGAUCUCCUAUCCAUACAUUGUGCUACAUGAGGGAGCCCAUCUUGGAUCUACCACUGAAAACUGUUAGUGACCUGACUCCUGGGUGCCAGUGUAACGGAGCGGCAGCUGUGCUGGCCAGGGGUUGAAGACGUUGAUGUCAGUGCAGACUGCAGAUGACAGGAGCCAGUUGGAGAACCCCAUGGAAAUCCCCAAAGAGCUCUGGAUGAUGGUGGAUUACCUGUACAGAAAUGCCGUCCAGCAGGAAGAUCUGUUUCAGCAGCCAGGUCUGAGGCCAGAGUUUGACCAUAUAAGGGACUGUCUAGAUACUGGGAUGAUCGACCAGCUCUGUGCUAACAACCAUUCUGUAGCCGAAGCCUUGCUGCUUUUCCUAGAGAGCCUGCCAGAGCCUGUCAUCUGUUACAGCGCCUACCAUAGCUGCUUGGAGUGUUCUGGCAAUUACGCAGCAAGCAAGCAGAUAAUUUUAACCCUCCCCAGCUUCCACAAAAAUGUCUUCAACUACUUGAUGGCGUUUUUGCAAGAACUGCUGAAAAAUUCAGCAAACAAUCAUUUGGAUGAGAAUAUUCUAGCUAGCAUAUUUGGCAGCUUACUGCUCCGGAACCCAGCUCGUCACCAAAAGCUUGACAUGGCGGAAAAGAAGAAGGCCCAAGAGUUUAUUCACCAGUUCCUCUGCGGUCCACUCUGAGCCUCACUACUCCUCUCCUGUUUUCCUUAAGGCAGCCACAAUUGUCAGCCCCACCUGUUUCAGCUCAAGAACUGCCUUAAGCUGGUCUGAGGCUGCUGGAAGAAUGGCAGCCACCUGUUUCUUCUACCUGAGCCUAGACCUGCCCCUUCUCCAUGCCAUUGGCUAGCACACCCAUGCUGACUUGUGAAGACAUGGGGGCAAUCCACCAUAGUAGAACUGACGUUCCACAUUCAACUCUAGUUAUUUAACACAAAUAGCUCCCUAUUCAUUUUUAUUUAAAAGUUUUAAGUAACUGUACUUUGCCUUAUUCAGCCAGCCUCCAGGACAUGCAGUCAGUGAGUUCCCCAUAUCCCGUACUGAGCAUCUCAUGGUCAGAUACUUGGACUAACUGAAGUCCCUGAAGGAGAAUGGCUUGGGGCGGCAGGACUCUGCUUAGAGGUUCCUGGAUAAACAACUUUUAGCCAUCCAGAUGCUUCCACUGUCCAAGCCGCAAACAUGUUCAUGCAUAGGGCACCUGUUCCCUUUCUGCUCAACUCCAAGGCCUCUCAGUCGCCCCCAAGAGCACUGAAGAAAGGGGGUUCUGGUGAAACAAGUGGGAUUUUGUAGGAUAUUCAGUCCUCCCAACUGUAUAUAAUGCAGCACCUCUCAUAUAUGUAAUAUAUUUUAAUGAAAAUGUAUUUUUAAUGGUGA